rnacentral:rRNA from 1 species
GACGAACGCUUGCGACGUGCCUAAGAAAUGCAAGUCGAACGGGGGUAGCAAUACCUAGUGGCGAACGGUCGCGUAACACGUGGGCAACCUGCCCCAGAGCGGGGGACAACAGUCCGAAAGGGCUGCUAAUACCGCAUGUGGACUGUGAAGGCAUCUUCAUUGUUCCAAAGCCGCAAGGCACUCUGGGAUGGGCCCGCGGCCUAUCAGCUUGUUGGUGGGGUAACGGCCUACCAAGGCUCGACGGGUAGCUGGUCUGAGAGGACGAUCAGCCGGAUUGGGGACUGAGAUACGGCCCAGACUCCUACGGGGGGCAGCAAUUAGGAAUCUUGCACAAUGGGCGAAAGCCUGAUGCAGCGACGUCGCGUGGAGGAUGAAAUCUUUCGGGAUGUAAACUCCUUUUAUUUGGGAAGAAACCCACGUUUUCUAAUGUGGUUG